rnacentral:rRNA from 1 species
CUAUGCGCCUUGCCAGCCCGCUCAGUCAGAGUUUGACUCCUGGCUCAGGACGAACGCUGGCGGCGUGCUUAACACAUGCAAGUCGAACGGUGACCCUGGGAGCUUGCUUCUGGGUGAGCAGUGGCGAACGGGUGAGUAACACGUGAGUAACCUGCCCCUGACUCUGGAAUAAGCGCUGGAAACGGCGUCUAAUACCGGAUAUGACACGAACGGGCAUCCGUAUCGUGUGGAAAGUUUUUCGGUCUGGGAUGGACUCGCGGCCUAUCAGCUUGUUGGUGAGGUAAUGGCUCACCAAGGCGAUGACGGGUAGCCGGCCUGAGAGGGCGAUCGACCACACUGGGACUGAGACACGGCCCAG